AACGAACGCUGGCGGCGUGCCUAAGACAUGCAAGUCGUGCGAGAAAGGGGCUUCGGCCCCGAGUAAAGCGGCGCACGGGUGAGUAACGCGUGGGUAACCCACCUCGAAGUCGGGAAUAACCCGGGGAAACCUGGGCUAAUGCCGGAUGAGCCUACGAGCUCCUCGGAACAUGUGGGAAAAGGUGGCCUCUGCUUGCAAGCUACCGCUUCGAGACGGGCCCGCGUCCCAUUAGCUAGUUGGUGAGGAACGGCUCACCAAGGCGAUGAUGGGUAGCUGGUCUGAGAGGACGAUCAGCCACACUGGAACUGAGACACGGUCCAGACUCCUACGGGAGGCAGCAGUCGGAAUAUUGGGCAAUGGGCGCAAGCCUGACCCCAGCGACGCCGCGUGAGGGAUGGAAGGCCUUCGGGUCGUAAACCUCUGUCAGGAGGGAAGAACGGCGACGA
rnacentral:rRNA from 1 species